AUUGAACGCUGGCGGCAGGCCUAACACAUGCAAGUCGAGCGAGCGGCGGACGGGUGAGUAAUGCCUAGGAAUCUGCCUGAUGGAGGGGGAUAACUACUGGAAACGGUAGCUAAUACCGCCUACAAUCAGAAGCGGCCAGAUGGGAGUAGCUAGUAGGUGGGGGAACGGAUCACCUAGGCGACGAGCCCUAGCUGGUCUGAGAGGAUGACGAGCAACACUGGAACUGAGACACGGUCCAGACUCCUACGGGAGGCAGCAUUGGGGAAUAUUGCACAAUGGGCGCAAGCCUGAUGCAGCCAUGCCGCGUGUGUGAAGAAGGCCUGCGGGUUGUAAAGCACUUUCAGCGGGGAGGCGUUACCCGCAGAAGAAGCACCGGCUAACUCCGUGCCAGCAGCCGCGGUAAUUC
rnacentral:rRNA from 1 species